rnacentral:rRNA from 1 species
AGCGAACGUUAGCGGCGCGCCUAACACAUGCAAGUCGCACGAGAAAGGGGGCAACCCCCGGUACAGUGGCGCACGGGCGAGUAACACGUAGAUGACCUUCCCUGGAGUGGUGGAUAACCUGCCGAAAGGCGGGCUAAUACAGCAUGGGACCACAUGGUUUUGACCGAGUGGUGAAAGCGGGCCUCUGUUCACAAGCUCGCUCUCUGGGAUGGUCUGCGGCCCAUCAGCUAGUUGGUGAGGUAACGGCUCACCAAGGCAACGACGGGUAGCUGGUCUGAGAGGAUGACCAGCCACACUGGAACUGAGACACGGUCCAGACUCCUACGGGAGGCAGCAGUGGGGAAUCUUGCGCAAUGGGCGAAAGCCUGACGCAGCGACGCCGCGUGGGUGAUGAAGGCCCUCGGGUUGUAAAGCCCUGUGGGGAGGAACGAACCGUUCGGGGGUGAAUAUCCUCCGGGCUUGACGGUACCUCCUUAGCAAGCAUCGGCUAACUCUGUGCCAGCAGCCGCCGUAAAAC